rnacentral:rRNA from 1 species
UCAAGCAAAAAAGAGCGCAGGGUGGAUGCCUUGGCACUAAGAGCCGAAGAAAGACGUGAUAAGCUGCGAUAAGCUGUGGUGAGCUGCACAUAAGUGAUGACCCACAGAUUUCUGAAUGGGGAAACCUGGCAGGGGAACCUGUCAUCCAUACUGAAUCCAUAGUGUAUGGAAGGGAACCUGGUGAACUGAAACAUCUAAGUAGCCAGAGGAAGAGAAAGAAACAUCGAUUUCGUAAGUAGCGGCGAGCGAACGCGAAAGAGGCCAAACCGGAGUGCAUGCAUUCCGGGGUUCGGACUGCAUUUAGGAUUAACAGAGACUAGUAGAACGGUUUUGGGAAAGCCGGCCAGAGAGGGUGAAAGCCCCGUACACGAAAGUUGAAGUUACCGAGCAGGAUCCAGAGUAGGACGAGACACGAGAAACCUUGUCUGAAUGAGCGGGGACCACCCCGUAAGCCUAAAUACUCCUUAGUGACCGAUAGCGCAUAGUACUGUGAAGGAAAGGUGAAAAGGACCCCGGGAGGGGAGUGAAAGAGAACCUGAAACCCUGUGUUUACAAGCUGUGGAACAUCUAUCUAAAAGAAGAUGAACCGCGUACUUUUUGUAGAACGGUCCGGCGAGUUACGCUUACUGGCAAGGAUAAGUACCAAGAGGUAUGGAUCCGAAGGGAAACCAAGUCUUAAAAGGGCGUUUAGUCAGUGGGAGUAGACCCGAAACCGGGUGACCUAUCCAUGUCCAGGUUGAAGUUGCCGUAAAAGGCAGUGGAGGACCGCACACACAUCCGUUGAAAAGGGUGGUGAUGAGGUGUGGAUAGGGGAGAAAUUCCAAUCGAACCCGGAGAUAGCUGGUUCUCCUCGAAACAGCUUUAGGGCUGUCCUCAUUUUAGUCUUAUGGAGGUAGAGCACUGAAUUUCCGCGGGGGCGUCAAAGCUUACCAAAGAAUAUCAAACUCCGAAUGCCAUGUAGAUGAUGAAUGGGAGUCAGACUGCACGAGAUAAGUUGAGUGGUCAAAAGGGAAAGAGCCCAGACCGCCGGCUAAGGUCCCAAAGUGCGUGUUAAGUGGUAAAGGAUGUGGGAUCUCGAAGACAACUAGGAUGUUGGCUCAGAAGCAGCCAAGCAUUCAAAGAGUGCGUAACAGCUCACUAGUCGAGAGGUUCUGCGCCGAAAAUGUACCGGGGCUAAAACACGACACCGAAGCCGCGGGAUGUAAGUAAUUACAUCGGUAGAGGAGCAUUCUUAAAACGAUGAAGCGUUACCGUAAGGAGGCGUGGAGAUUUAAGAAGAGAGAAUGCCGGAAUGAGUAGCGAGAGAAAGGUGAGAAUCCUUUCGGCCGAAUAUCUAAGGAUUCCAGGGUAAAGCUGAUCUGCCCUGGGUAAGUCGGGACCUAAGGCGAGGUCGAAAGACGUAGUCGAUGGACAACAGGUUUAGAUUCCUGUACCUGAUAGUAACAGAACUGUGGGGACGCAGAGACAAAACACGAGCCGGGAAUGGAAAAACCGGUCGAAGCGUAAUAGGAGGCAGUAGGAAAACCCGCUGUAGAAUCCGAAGACGUGUAAGGGAGCGAAAUAUUAGUAGCGAAGCGUGUGGAGGAGCUGCCGAGAAAAGCCGCUAUUGUUUGCUAUCAGCCCGUACCGUAAACCGACACAGGUGGAUGAGGAGAAGAUCCUAAGGCCGACGGAAGAAGCAUUGUUAAGGAAUUCGGCAAAAUGACCCCGUAACUUCGGGAGAAGGGGUGCCUGAGCAAUCAGGCCGCAGAGAAUAGGCUCAAGCAACUGUUUAGCAAAAACACAGGUCUAUGCGAAACCGUAAGGUGAAGUAUAUGGGCUGACGCCUGCCCGGUGCUGGAAGGUUAAGAGGAGAGGUUAGCUUCGGCGAAGCUUUGAAUUGAAGCCCCAGUAAACGGCGGCCGUAACUAUAACGGUCCUAAGGUAGCGAAAUUCCUUGUCGGGUAAGUUCCGACCCGCACGAAAGGCGUAAUGAUUUGAGCACUGUCUCGACAAUGCAUCCGGUGAAAUUGAAGUACCAGUGAAGAUGCUGGUUACCCGCGCCAGGACGGAAAGACCCCAUGGAGCUUUACUCCAGUUUGGUACUGGGAUUCGAUACUGCAUGUACAGGAUAGGUGGGAGACGAAGAAGUAAGGACGCCAGUCUUUACAGAGUCGCUGUUGGGAUACCACCCUUGUAGUAUUGGAUUUCUAACCUGCCACCGUGAUCCGGUGGGGGGACAAUGCCAGGCGGGGAGUUUGACUGGGGCGGUCGCCUCCGAAAGAGUAUCGGAGGCGCUCAAAGUUUCCCUCAGGAUGGUUGGAAACCAUCUAUAGAGUGCAAAGGCAUAAGGGAGGCUGACUGCGAGAGCGACGGUUCGAGCAGGUACGAAAGUAGGACUUAGUGAUCCGGUGGUAUAAAGUGGG